UAGCAGGGGCAUCAAACCUCCACAGGACC
rnacentral:piRNA from 1 species